ACCCCCAGCUUAUGGAAUCGUAAGUAAGUGACACAAGCAGAAUCAACCUUUGGAAGAUCAUCUAUUUCCUGCUGGGUUGACUGGAAUGUGUGAUACGACCUAAGUAACUGACAGCCUGUGUGCAGAGUUCCUAAAUAACGAAGCCAGACCAUCAUUGCUAUGGGUGAAGCCAGGAAGUGACUGUGGAUGUGAACAAAUGUGAGAUUCAUGUACACGUCUCCAAAGACAGAGGCCACUGAUCUGGGGAGAACCUGCAGUCAUUUCACUUUCCCAUACCCAGAUGAGAGGACACCUUGAUCUGUGUUCAUCUGAUGAACUCUAAAAUCUGGACCAUAUUCUGAAGGCAAAUACCUAGGAGUGCAGUUACUGGGUCUUACAGGUGCUCGGGCUCACACCUGUAAUCUCAGCACUUUGAGAGACCAAGGAGGAAGGAUCACGUCCACCUGGAAAGCAUUAUAUUUAGCAAGAAUAAAGGAGGCUGUGAAUGAUGUCACUGCGGACUGCGUAUAUUCCCUGUUGCAAAUGUCAAAUCCAUGAAGCAAAAAGGGAUUUACUAGAGGUUAUUAAAUUCCUUACAAAUUGUUGAAAAGCCUUAAAAAACAGGCUCCAGUCAAAGCCUCUAGAACAAUUCCAAGAAUCGUACUGCUGGCACAGGUCGGGGGAGCUCCUCCUGCUGUCUGAGACUCCACAUUCAAGCUGUCUCUUGCAGCAGAAGAGAGAGCGGCUCUUCUCACUACUGCCCCCAGAAGGACAGCAGCUCUGGUAUCAACUGUCAACUGCUAGAAAUCUGACCCCUUUCUCUGACUGCCCAUCAGAUGUGUUACUACAGAGUCGUUUUGGAUUGAGAUGAAGGAGGGGAAAUGCCUGAUCUCACUCAAAUGUGCUCAUUUUCCUGGUCUGAGUCACAGCCAGGCAGCACAGUCCUGUGGGCACAAUAUCUUCACUUGCCAGGUUCCUAUAAAAUGGGAGUAUCUUUCUUGACUGUGGAAAAUAUGGAGACGAGGAAGGUCAAGCAAUAGCAAAAGGAGUACUUGGAGUUGCCUGAGCUUCCACUCUGGUUUCCCCAAAUGUUUUCAAUCCAUUUAAUUCAUGAUAAUAAACACCUUUCUGCCUAACCAGCCAUAAUCGCUUUUCUU
rnacentral:lncRNA from 1 species